GAUGAAGAACGCCGCGAAAUGCGAUAAGUAGUGUGAAUUGCAGAAUUCAGUGAAUCAUCGAAUCUUUGAACGCACAUUGCGCCCUUUGGUAUUCCUUAGGGCAUGCCUGUUCGAGCGUCAUUUAAACCUUCAAGCUAAGCUUGGUGUUGGGUGACUGUCCGCUUCACGGCGGACUCGCCUCAAAAUUAUUGGCGGCCGGUACAUUGGCUUCGAGCGCAGCAGAAACGCGAACUCGGGCCCGUCGUAUUGGCUCCCAGAAGCUAUCUUCACAAUUUUGACCUCGGAUCAGGUAGGGAUACCCGCUGAACUUAAGCAUAUCAAUAAGCGGAGGA
rnacentral:misc_RNA from 1 species